CACCUGCUGACACACUGGGGGGGGCUCACCUGCUGACACGCUGGGGGGGCUCACCUGCUGACACACUCACUCUGGUGUCAGCUGGCAUCGAUGACCAACAAAAGGCUCUACCCAGGAACAUCUCCAGUGCAUCGAGGUCAAGGCACGGGUUUGUAACACUGACUCUCAAGAGGUCAGGACACAGGGGUCAUGAACCCUCACUCCCACAAGGUCAGGACACAGGGGUCGUGAACCUGACUCCCACGAGGUCAGGACACAGGGGUCGUGAACCCUCACUCCCACAAGGUCAGGACACAGGGGUCAUGAACCCUCACUCCCACAAGGUCAGGACACAGGGGUCAUGAACCCUCACUCCCACAAGGUCAGGAUACAGGGGUCGUGAACCUGACUCCCACAAGGUCAGGACACAGGGGUCGUGAACCCUCACUCCCACAAGGUCAGGACACAGGGGUCAUGAACCCUCACUCCCACAAGGUCAGGACACAGGGGUCGUGAACCCAACUCCCAAGAGCUCAGGAUGUGGGGAUCGUGAACCCAACUCCCACAAGGCACUGAGGACAGGACACAGGGGUCAUGAACCUGACUCCGGCGAGUACAGGCUGUAUGAAGCAGCAGAGCGCGACACAGAACAGUGUGGAGAUGGACGCAGCGGGCAUCAGAAUGGGCCCUGCUGAGUGGCCUCUGUGGGCAGCACCGUGCGCCCGGGGGAGCUCACUGUGGGACGAGCACACUCAUUAUUCUUAGGACCCCCCGGUGAGCACAGGAGAGACGGCGCCACAUGCAGUGAGCAUCAUAAAACGCCACCCAGAGC